rnacentral:rRNA from 1 species
CAGCAGGCGCGCAAAUUACCCAAUCCCCGAUCGGGGAGGUAGUGACGAGAAAUGACAGUGCCGUAAUCAGAUGAUUCGGCUACUGAAUUGAGAACGAUGAAAGAAUGUUAUCGAAUAUCUAUUGGAGGGCAAGUCUGGUGCCAGCAGCCGCGGUAAUUCCAGCUCGAAGAGCGUCUGUUAAUGCUGCUGCGCUUGAAACGCUCGUCGUUGAAUCUCUGGCAAUUGUCUACGGACACUUUUAUAGUGCUACCGUAGGAAAGUGCCUUUUUGUAUCUAUUCGUCGUUGAUUCACUUAAUUGUGUGUCGCGUACGAGAGCCACUUUCACUUUGGAGAAAUCAGUGUGCUCAUAACAGGCUUUAGCCUGCAUAUAACUGCAUGGGAUGAUGAAAUUGGGCCUUUGACUCGUUUCGUUGGUUUACGAUUGCAAAGGCCAUGAUUAAUCGGGACAGACGGGGGCAUUCGUAUUGCGUCGAUAGAAGUGAAAUUCGGUGACCGACGUAAGACGAACAAUCGCGAAAGCAUUUGCCAAGAAUGUUUUCAUUAAUCAAGAACGAAAGUUAGAGUAUCGAAGACGAUUAGAUACCGUCCUAGUUCUAACUGUAAACGAUGCCAACCAGGGUUUCGUCAUAGCUCAAAUGCUUGACGAGCACCCUCCGGGAAACCUGAGUAAUCGGGUUCCGGGGGGAGUAUGGUUGCAGAAUCGAAACUUAAAGGAAUUGACGGAAGGGCACACCAGGAGUGGAGCCUGCGGCUUAAUUUGACUCAACGCACGAUAGCCGACUCGGUCCGAACACUUGAAGGAUUGACAGACUGAAAGCUCUUUCUUGAUUCAGUGGGUAGCGGUGCAUG